rnacentral:lncRNA from 1 species
UGAUUAUAUAUCAUGACUGUGCAGCAGAGGCACAUUGACCCUAGUAGACAGGGUAUCCUCUUGAGAGGAUUGGAUCAUACUCACUAGUCUGUUUUGCUUGUCGGUGGUCGCUCCACCGAAGCACGAGUCUCCGGAGUACUUCACUAGGGGCAGACGUAGUUGUCCCGCAGACGGUCUCGGUGUGCGAGUGCAGCUUCUCCUCACCUAUGAGAUUGAGAGUGAGUCGAGGGUUAACGUACGGGUCAACCAAUUAGAUUGGGUAAUAAA